UAAGACAGGGAUUUUUUACUAGGAUUAAAUGUCAGGAAUGGUGAAAAACUGAGUUUAAAAGUAUUUGGCUGUGUAUGUAAACUAAAUGUGUAUGUAAACUUCCGACUUCAACUGUAUCUAUUGGAGUAUCCAUGUACUCUUUAAGUGAGUUAUGUAUCCAGGCCUAAAUGUAUGUAUAUGGUGGUGAUCUAUGUGGAGGUUAUCUAGAUGUAUAUGCAUGUAGGUUACUGUAUAUGGUGGUGAUCUAUGUGGAGGUUAUCUAGAUGUAUAUGCAUGUAGGUUACUGUAUAUGGUGGUGAUCUAUGUGGAGGUUAUCUAGAUGUAUAUGCAUGUAGGUUACUGUAUAUGGUGGUGAUCUAUGUGGAGGUUAUCUAGAUGUAUAUGCAUGUAGGUUACUGUAUAUGGUGGUGAUCUAUGUGGAGGUUAUCUAGAUGUAUAUGCAUGUAGGUUACUGUAUAUGGUGGUGAUCUAUGUGGAGGUUAUCUAGAUGUAUAUGCAUGUAGGUUACUGUAUAUGCUGGUAUAGAUCUAUAUGGUUGGUAUAUGUCUAUUUGGAGACUUAGAAAUGGAGUAACUCUGACAGCUGUGUUUACAUUAUGUAUUGUGUCGUCUGAAAACAGUUUGUGUGAUCAAGAGAGAUGACAUUUUGUUGCAUAUGGAAUACAUGUGUGUGUGUGUGUGACCCUUCACCUCUAUAGGGUGAGGUCAUUUUCCAUACGGCAACAUGUCGCGCUUAUUCCAUAGUAUUAAACGUACACACACACUUACAGCCUUGAAUAUAGUCCCACCAGGCUAAACCGUGUAAAUGUUUCCGUCUCCAGAUGUUUUCAAUUGACCCUGCCUGAGAGGGCCGCUACACACACACACACACACACACACACACACACACACACACACACACACACACACACACACACACACACACACACACACACACACACACACACACACACACACACACACACACACACACACACACACACACACACACACACACGACAGCUCCGCCUCGAUCUGCUGGUGCUGAGGUCUACGUGGUUACUCUGGGAUACUGGGACACAGAACACACACACAUUAACUAUUGAGGUUUGACUUCCAUGUCUCUGAACCUGUCAGAGUUGUUUCAGUGACAUUAUGUUUUAUUAUUAACUCUGACCAUAUUAGAUCAUCUGGAAUGAUUUAGAAUCAUAUUAAACUGAUAAUGAG